UCUUUCAUGGUGUAAUGGUAACAUCGAUGCUUGUCAGUCAUUCACUACACGCAUCAGCCCCGAGUUCGAUUCUCGGUGAGAGAG